GGACGAACGGCUGGCGGCCGUGCCUAAUACAUGCAAGGUCGAACGGUCUUUCUAUGGAAGCUUGCUUCCACUGAGAAGAUAGUGGCGAACGGGUGAGUAACACGUGGGUAGCCCUGCCCAUAAGAGGGGGGAUAACAUCCGGAAACGGGUGCGUAAUACCGCAUAGUUUUCUUGAUCGCAUGAUCGGGAAAGGAAAGACGGCCUUUGUGCUGUCGCUUAUGGACGGACCCGCGGCGUAUUAGUUAGUUGGUGAGGUAACGGCUCACCAAGACGAUGAUACGUAGCCGUACCUGAGAGGGUGAUCGGCCACAUUGGGACUGAGACACGGCCCAAACUCCUACGGGAGGCAGCAGUAGGGAAUCUUCCGCAAUGGACGAAAGUCUGACGGAGCAACGCCGCGUGAGUGAAGAAAAGGUUUUCGGAUCGUAAAACUCUGUUGUCAGAGAAGAACAAGUUGGAGAGUAACUGCUCCAGCCUUGACGGUAUCUGACCAGAAAGCCACGGCUAACUACGUGCCAGCCGCCGC
rnacentral:rRNA from 1 species